rnacentral:tRNA from 1 species
GCCGAAGUGGUGGAACUGGUAGACACGCCAUCUUGAGGGGGUGGUGACCGCAUGGUCGUGCGAGUUCGAGUCUCGCCUUCGGCACCA